rnacentral:rRNA from 1 species
UCCUUUUGUAGAUAAUCUAAGGUCUAGCCUGCCCACUGAAAUUUUAAAUGGCCGUGGUAUUUUGACCGUGCUAAGGUAGCAUAAUCAUUAGUUUUUUAAUUAAAAACUGGAAUGAAAGGUUGGAUGAGAAAAUAGCUGUCUCUAUUAAAUUUAAUUAGAAUUUUAUUUUUAAGUUAAAAAGCUUAAUUAUUAUUAAAAGACGAGAAGACCCUAUAGAGUUUAAUUAUUUAAUAAAAAUUAUAUUUUAGUAUUAAUUUAUUUAUUUUAUUGAAUAAUUUAAUUGGGGUGAUUGAAAAAUUUAAUUAACUUUUUUUAUUUAAAAACAUUAAUUUAUGAAUAAAUGAUCCAAUAUUUUUGAUUAUAAGAUAAAAUUACCUUAGGGAUAACAGCGUAAUUUUUUUAGAAAGUUCAUAUUAAAAAAAAAGAUUGCGACCUCGAUGUUGGAUUAAAAUAAAUUUUUGGUGUAGAAGCUAAAAUAUUAGGUCUGUUCGACCUUUAAAAUUUUACAUGAU